GGGCCGAUAGAUCAGCGGUAGAUCGCCUGCUUUGCAAGCAGGAGGGCUCGGGUUCAAAUCCCGAUCGGUCCA
rfam:Picrophilus torridus DSM 9790, complete genome.